AUCAAGGUAUCAGUGAUUUUCUGUUUUAUUUCGAUAUCCUUGUUCCAUAUUUCUAAAUCCAUCAAAUGAUAGCCUUAAUGCUCCAUUGCAAGGUCUCGAGACAACGGUACAAACUUAGUUGUUCGCCUCUGUUCAUAGCAUGUCCGUUUGAAACUCUUAGCCAGUUUGUUCGUUUUUUUUAGCAGCAACGAAUCGCCACCGUAGCAUCAUCAGUUGGGAAUUUACGACUCUUUCAAGUUCCCUCCGAUUGACGACCCACCGGUUUGCAACAUUUGUUUCUGAUCACCUUGUUUAUCUCUGUUUGAUCACCCGGAAGCUCAAAAUCGUCGGUUUCGCUCCGAUCAGUUUCGCGAUUAAGCCAGCGUACACCCUCUUAUUCGAUAGAUCGGGGCCGCUGCCGUAGUUGAGUUACUCGUCUCUACGUGACCAGACGUCCAAAACGCCGCGACGCAUUCCAUUGACUCCGCUCCUCGACCCAAGGCUUUGGUGAUAGUUAAGGACGCCACUGAGUUUUGUGAUGUUAUCAUAGAAGAUCGCUUAAGGU